CACGUAGGCACCAAGCGUUGUCCGGAUUUAUUGGGCGUAAAGAGCGUGUAGGCGGCCAGGUAGGUCCGUUGUGAAAACUCGAGGCUCAACCUCGAGACGUCGGCGGAAACCCUCUGGCUAGAGUCCGGAAGAGGAGAGUGGAAUUCCUGGUGUAGCGGUGAAAUGCGCAGAUAUCAGGAAGAACACCCGUGGCGAAGGCGGCUCUCUGGGACGGUACUGACGCUGAGACGCGAAAGCGUGGGGAGCAAACAGG
rnacentral:rRNA from 1 species